GUUUUUCGCUUGAGGAUGAGCCCAUGUGGGAUUAGCUAGUUGGUGAGGUAAUGGCUCACCAAGGCUACGAUCCCUAACUGGUCUUAGAGGAUGAUCAGUCACACUGGAACUGAGACACGGUCCAGACUCCUACGGGAGGCAGCAGUAGGGAAUAUUGCACAAUGGGGGAAACCCUGAUGCAGCGACGCCGCGUGAGUGAUGAAGGCCUUCGGGUCGUAAAGCUCUGUCGUAUGGGAAUAACAAAAUG
rnacentral:rRNA from 1 species